rnacentral:rRNA from 1 species
UACGAAGGGGGCUAGCGUUGUUCGGAAUUACUGGGCGUAAAGCGCACGUAGGUGGUCCGUUAAGUCAGUUGUGAAAUCCCCGGGCUCAACUCGGGAACUGCUUCUGAUACUGGCGGACUUGAGGCCAGUAGGGGUCACUAGAACUGACGGUGGAGCGGUGAAAUGCGUAGAUAUCGUCAGGAAUGCCGGUGGUGAAGACGGGUGACUGGGCUGGUUCUGACACUGAGGCACGAAAGCGUGGGGAGCGAACGGG